CAAUUUAAUAAUAUUAUUUUUUAAUUGUAAUGUUUUCAAAAGAAAUUAACCAAUAUGCCUAAUUGUAUAAUUACAGUUAUGUUUGGAAAUGCAAGAAAAAGGCAUGCAUUCCUGAAAAGUCAAUGAUUGGUUGCACCUCUUAAAGAUAACUUUCUGUUAUGAGAAAAGAUGAGAUUCUUGGACUCCUGCAUAGCACCACCAGAAAGGAAAAUCCCAUCAUGUUGCAAAAUAAAAGUCUUGGACCAAUUUUAAUUUAAGAUAUAUAUAUUAGACUGUAAGCUGUAAUCAUAUUUAUGUAUAUCCUGUCAUUCAGCCAACAGGUUUAGAUUUAGUAUUUCUUUAAAUCUGUUCGAUAUUGUACUUGAAAACUAUUAAUCUGAGCCCCAUUAAAACAAGAGGGAGUGCAGUGGAUGAGUGGUAAGGGAAAUUUUACUUUUUUUUAAAUUAAAAUAAGAAUCUAACCAAAGUAAACAUAUAAAAUAUGGUGCAUUCUCCUUAAAACUAAAACCUGGUGCAAAGGUUUAAAAUGUUGGCAAAAAAAAAAGCAACAUCAAUUAAAUAUUCUUAAUUCCCUUUGCAAAACUUACUGAGAAGAACAUGCAUGUUGUUCCCUCAUAAGUUUCUUGACAGAGGAAAUCUUGUUUAUAUUAGAUUUGAAUUAAGCAAAUUAAGAAAAAAAUUAUAAUGAUUAUUUCAAAUGGUUGUAUCUAAACCUUAUGAAUUAUUUUUCAGUUAUAAGUAUAUUGAAAUUAAUGGAUAAUUAUGAAAUUGUUAAAUAAUUGCUGCUAUCAUUCCAUUGACUAAAGAACCAUAAUUUUUUUUUUAAUUAAUUUCAAAAUUAAUUAAUUAAUUAAUUUUCAAGCAGAGUUCACAUAGAUCUUGAGUGAAAUUUUUCUUUUUUUGACUAAUGCUUCAAUUUUAUUGUAUCAUUAGUUUUUUAUUUUUAUUACCCAGAAUAUUUUAAAAAUGAGUACACUAUUUUCAUGUAAUAAUGUAACUUGGUAUUCACACAUCAAAAUACGCUAUAAUCUUUAGGCCAUAUAGAUUUGUAUAAAUAUAAAUUAACUUGCUUAAAUACAUUGUAAAUGUAUAUUGUUUGGAUAAGAAUAAAGUUUUUCUGUAGACAA